rnacentral:lncRNA from 12 species
GGUUCCCGGCGUCUCCGUAUUACGCGCUGAGCUCUGAGUCCACUGCUGAAUAUUCACGUCCACUCUCCUCUUGUGCGUAAUUCACGCAACACGAGCGCUGCUGAAUGAAUGCGACGCGCCGCAGCUCCGACCCUCUCUUUCUCUGUACAGUCAGAUUGAAUUGGAGUCACCUCCAGCCAAUCCAUUUACUUUGAAGUAGGCCUACUUUACUCUUUUAUUUCUCCUUCGAGGUAGUUCACAGUUAGAAACAAUACUAGACAAUACUAGAUGCGCGCAAUUUAGUCUGUAAACCAAUAGUGCAAAUGUUAAACCUCUCAAAUAAAAUAAAAGGCUAGCCUACUGUUGCAUCAAUACAGACUAUAUAUGCGUUUCAUUUGUAUUUUUAAACAUUUCAGUCACAGUUUAUGUUAGAUUAGGGCCUCUGGUGGUUAAAAAAUAUGUAAACUAAAAAAAUGAAAAAGCUGGAGAACAGAAUGCGCGUUCGCCUGAAGUAACAGUACGCAGCUUUAGCUUUCGUUUUUCUCUCUUAUUUAACCCAGACGAAUUAAUUGGUUAAAUAAUUGUUUUUUGUUGUUGUUUUAUUUCACGUCUAGAAUUUCCUUUACAAACUCAUUGAAAGUCAUCGUAUAACUGGCACUGCUAUAACCCUUUAAUUCUAUGGAAAAUAUAAGCAUUAUCCUUUAAGUCCCAGUUCUCGUUUGAUUCAAGGUCAUUUGGCUCACAAAAACAAGCCACUGGAAAAUCCCUGACAGCCACUAUACAAUUUAGGCUAUAUGAAUGCAUAAUAUAUAGGCUAGUAUAUAUAAAAUGUUACAUCAAUAUGAUAUUCAUUUAUAUAUUGAAAAACCAUAAUUGAUUCCCUCACUGUACAGGUUAUACAAGCACAGUACUUAUUCAUAACAUUAUAUUAAUCUUAAACUCAAAUAAAAUAAAUAAAUAAACUCUGUGUGGUAGGCAAUAUUAAUUAGAUUAAAAGAAAGGCUCAGGAUUUGACUUCAGUUGAGAAUGACAGAUUGCAUUGAUUUAUUAAUAUCAGUUUAGCAAACCAGUAAGGAACAACAUAUACAUACUACAUAAUCUACCAAUGAGCUUCAGACAACAAGGCACUCGCUGGUUA